ACCUAGUAAAAUGGAGAACUCUUUGGUUUUCAUUUGUCCCUUGUUUUCGCUUAUUGGUGCUGGUUGUAAAAUGAGGAAAAGUUGGAUUCUUCCACGGUCGUUACAGCAUGUAAUGUAGUUUUGAGGUAUAGGUGCCAUGAUAUUCUUUUAUUUUUAGAUGAUAUGAAUAAGUGUUUUCUAAAGGCAAAUAGAGAAACCACAACUAUCACAUGUUUUCUGUUUUUUUAUUCAUAUACAGAGGAAGGCAUGCUUGAGCAAAUCAUAUACAAAGGUUUAGCAUUCAACUGGCUGCCGGCUGCUGUCAUGAUUUAUUGCUUCCUUGUAGAUCUGGGAUUCAAGUGGUUGGAUUAUUAGGAAAAUUCACACGAGGACCACUUUGCUGUUUGCACGUCGUUAAGGUGGUAAUUAAUAUCGAAUUUUGGUUUUUGGCGCUUUUAGAAAAAAUAGAAAGCUUGCAUUUGCUAAUGGAAGGAUUUUUGGUUUUGAGGGUACAUGAGACUGAAUUCUCAAGAGAAAGAGCUCAUGACAAUGUCGGGAGCCUGUAGAUUUAUAUAUAUGAGGCUAUAAUGCAAAUGCAAGGGUUUGGAUGUUUGGAUUGUCUUCCAACAACCUAACCGUAGGGAAGGUGAAUAAUCUCCGGAAGUAAAAUUUACCUCUUCUGACCAAACUAAUUUAUAUAUUUACUUUCUUUCCUGUUUCAUUUACGUUGUAAAUCUUCUUUGUUAUUAGUAUUCUCAGUUUUAGUGGGGAAGAUUUGAUGAUAGGCAUUUACAUAGCAGAGCAAAUUGUUUUUACAUCGACCUAGCCAGUUCUUACUGACGUUGCUAUGAUGUUGCUCUGAAUUUCGGACAUGGUGAAGUUUUGUGCUUCUGUAUUUAGAACUAUAUCUAUCAAUCAUUCAAGUUUUGAAUGAAAUAUUCUGGAAAUAAUGAUGGAAAAUAGAAGUGCAGUCCUAAAAAAAUA
rnacentral:lncRNA from 1 species